rnacentral:rRNA from 1 species
GAUGAACGCUAGCGCUAGGCUUAACACAUGCAAGUCGAGGGGCAGCACAAGGUAGCUUGCUAUCUGGGUGGCGACCGGCGCACGGGUGCGUAACGCGUAUGCAACUUGCCCUAUACAGGAGGAUAACCCGUCGAAAGACGGACUAAUACUGCGUAUGCUCACAACUUGGCAUCAAGUGGUGAGGAAAGAAAUUCGGUAUAGGAUAGGCAUGCGUCCCAUUAGCUUGUUGGUGAGGUAACGGCUCACCAAGGCAACGAUGGGUAGGGGAACUGAGAGGUUUAUCCCCCACACUGGUACUGAGACACGGACCAGACUCCUACGGGAGGCAGCAGUGAGGAAUAUUGGUCAAUGGGCGCGAGCCUGAAUCAGCCAAGUCGCGUGAAGGAUGACUGUCUUAUGGAUUGUAAACUUCUUUUAUACGGGAAUAACAAGAGUCACGUGUGACUCCCUGCAUGUACCGGAUGAAUAAGCAUCGGCUAACUCCGUG